CGCAUAAGUUCGUAUUGAUAGCGGAUAAGGCCAGCCCACCCUACACUCUUACACGAAUUUAAUACAUUGGUCUGUCCCCACCUCGUGGGCCAAACGAGCUAGUUGGUGGACCUAAUUUUUUAAAAAAAAAACCAUAAUUUGAAAAUUAGAUGAAGAAAAACUGUAAAUGGUGAUGGCACGGUGGUGGCAUAGUGGUCAGCAUCUAUGGUUGUGCCCGAGGUUGAGAGGGAGAAAUUGAAGGAGAAGGAUGAGAAGGUGUGCGAAAAAA
rnacentral:lncRNA from 1 species